UACGUAGGUGGCAAGCGUUUGUCCGGAUUUAUUGGGUUUAAAGGGUGCGUAGGCGGCCUUAUAAGUCAGUGCUGAAAUAUCCCGGCUUAACCGGGAGGGUGGCAUUGAUACUGCAAGGCUUGAGUGUAGUCGAGGUAGGCGGAAUUGACGGUGUAGCGGUGAAAUGCUUAGAUAUCGUCAAGAACACCGAUAGUGUAGACAGCUUACUAGGCUACAACUGACGCUGAGGCACGAAAGUGUGGGGAUCAAACAGG
rnacentral:rRNA from 1 species